UAAUACGUAGGGGGCAAGCGUUGUCCGGAAUCAUUGGGCGUAAAGCGCGCGUAGGCGGCCCGGUAAGUCCGUUGUGAAAGUCGAAGGCUCAACCUUCGAAUGCCGAUGGAUACUGCCGGGCUAGAGUACGGAAGAGGUGAGUGGAAUUCCUGGUGUAGCGGUGGAAUGCGCAGAUAUCAGGAGGAACACCAAUAGCGAAGGCAGCUCACUGGGACGUUACUGACGCUGAGGCGCGAAAGCGUGGGGAGCGAACAGGAUUAGAUACCCUGGUAGUCCACGCCGUAAACGAUGGGUACUAGGUGUGGGAGGUGUCGACUCCUCCCGUGCCGGCGCUAACGCAUUAAGUACCCCGCCUGGGGAGUACGGCCGCAAGGCUA
rnacentral:rRNA from 1 species